rfam:Lactobacillus curieae strain CCTCC M 2011381, complete genome.
GGUGAGUUGGCAGAGUGGUAAUGCACCGGACUCGAAAUCCGGCGAACCCGUGUUGAGCGGGCGCGCAGGUUCAAUUCCUGUACUCACCU